ensembl:snRNA U6 U6 spliceosomal RNA
GUGCUCACUGCAGCAGCACAUACACUAAAAAUGGAACAAUACAGACAAGAUUAGCAUGACUUUUUGCAAAGAUGACACACAAAUUAGUGAAGUACUCCAUAGUGUU